rnacentral:rRNA from 1 species
UACGUAGGGUGCAAGCGUUGUCCGGAAUUAUUGGGCGUAAAGAGCUUGUAGGCGGUUUGUCGCGUCUGCUGUGAAAUUUCGGGGCUCAACCCCGAACUUGCAGUGGGUACGGGCAGACUAGAGUGUGGUAGGGGAGACUGGAAUUCCUGGUGUAGCGGUGAAAUGCGCAGAUAUCAGGAGGAACACCGGUGGCGAAGGCGGGUCUCUGGGCCGAUACUGACGCUGAGGAGCGAAAGCGUGGGGAGCAAACAGG